rnacentral:sRNA from 1 species
UGUAUCUGAAGCCUGAAGAGGAUGAGAACCUCCGGGGGCAAGAGGUUCGACUCGAGCGAAGCGAGAGAACGUUGCAU